rnacentral:lncRNA from 1 species
GGGUUAUGGGAUGCUCACUAUUACCAAGCCCACCUCACGAUGAUACGAUGUUGGCUAGCAAAAAUAAUAAUGAGAGGGUACAAUUACCCAUUCACAACAACCUCUUGUGAUUACCCAUCUUUUUGGCCUCUAGAGAGCAAUGCCUCACGAUGAUACGAUGUUGGCAUCAUUUCUCUUAGUUAAGUUCUUUCCCACCAUGCCGGUUUAGAUAGGGGUUCAAUCAUGACCUCACGAUGAUACGAUGUCGGCCACACUCGUUGCCUACCUUAACCUCAUCAAAUGUUUUAAAUAAACUCCUCCUGAGUAUAAGCAUGCACUUUGCACUCCCCCAUGAUAGCGUGAAGGCGAUGUACAAGUCAUAAACGAUUGGAGCCUACCAUGGUGGAAGGCCAUGAAAAAGUGUUCAAAGCACUCUUACGCUUACAACUUAAUAUUGUUUGUUGGUUGAGGGAUUUUAAGGUCUCAUCAUUUUUAUUCAUUUAAUCACAUUCAAAUAAAUAAUGUCCUAUUACAACUACUAGUCCAAAGUUAAUGAAAUUAGUAGCAUAUGAUAUCCCCACUAUUCGUUUUCAUAAAACAAAUCAAUAUCAAAACAUUUAUCAAAAUAUUGGAGAUAUAUAUAACUACUAAUUGUAUUCAUUAUAGUUUAGUAGCGUUUGAUACUCCCACUAUUUGUUUUAAGAAAAACAAAUCAAUAUCAAAAACGAAUUUUUCAAAUAUUGGAAGUAACUACUACUACUAAGGUUUUUGCAUUCCUUUGAAAUUGGACUUUAUAGUUAUUUUAGGCUCUUGGAUGACCAUGGACUUAUUAGGUUAUUGCAACAACGAGCCAACAUUGUUGAAUAUAAACUCGGGGAGGUUGUGUCAAUUUAAUUACGUGCUUAUCAAUCCAAUUAAAACAAUUUCAUUGAGCCAUUAGAAAUGAAAGACAAUCAAUCAUUGCUAAUUAGGGCAUUGGACCCAUUUAAUCUUUAAUCUCAUGUCAAAACCCUCUUUUAGUUAUGUCUUCUUACCAAUAGUUAAAGAAACUCUAGUCUAGCACUAGAGGGAAUCAACUACCAAAUAGAGAUUAAGAAGUAAUAAGAAUUACAAACCGAUUUGUACAAAUUCCUAUAAAUUACAUAUACUAAAAGGGGAGAGAUAGAUUAAUGUCAAGCGUGACAAGGUCCAAUUAAACAGUAAUUAAAACACAUUCCCAAGGUUCAAACAAUUUGAUUUUAGCGCCUUAUCUCAUAGCUCAAUUAUAGUUUCAGGCAUAAGUCCAUAGUCACCAUUUUCUAACUACUUAAUCACAUUUAAAUAAUCAAAAUGGAAUGCAACAUGAACAUUUAGAUUUAGUGCAUAUGGGCAUAAUAGUGUUAUGAGUUUAAACAACUAACAAAAUUAAAAUCAAAUAUUUUAACUUUCUAGUUAGUAGGGGCUUAAAUGCAAAUAUGGAAAAGUUAGGGGUCAAACCGUAAAUACUUGAAAGUAUAAUAUCAACUUUUCAAAGAUUACAAAAUAGCCCCACAAGUGGAUAAAUCCACUAGGGAGGCCGGCCACAUUAAGGGGAUGGGAGGUCUCUUGCACAUUCUUACACAACAUGCAUUAAAUUCCACAUUAUGUAGAAAAAAUUAAAUUUUGCUUGUCACUUGGUUUUGCUUCAAAGACUUUAGUGAAAAGGGUUGAUGGAAAUCUCCUAGUCAAGUCUAGGAUUUAAUAAAUUUAUGAUAUGGUUAUGGAUGGUAUGAACAUCAUCCAAAACCACAAAACAAUGCAUGAAAACCAAACAAAACCAUUUUCACCAAAAACCAAACCAUGAACACCAAGAACAUAACCAUGAACUUAUUUUCAAGAUUUGUAUAUUCUUGGUGAUUUUUCAAACCCAAAAACAAAAGUGACAAGAACUCUUCUUUCAAGCUUUAAAAGGAUGUGAGAGUGGUUUACAAUAAUCACAAACACAACCCAAAACCACCCCCAAAACCGUGCCCUCCCUUUGGUUCAAAACCCCAAAUUUUGUUCAUGACUUAUUCUUCAUUCAUGCAUACAAAACAACUUUUACAUGCAUAUCUUUUUCAACUCUUGAUUUAUAUUUUUCAACCAUUGAAAAACAAAAGAUAAACAUACUUAAAUGAAGAAAUAAUAUGUCAAAUUAGUUCAAAACUCAAUUUUCAUUCAUGCAUACAAAACAACUUUUGCAUACAUAUCUUUCUCAACUAUUGACUAACAUUUUUCAACUAUUGAAAAAAAAAAGAUAAACAUAUAUUGAAUGAAGCAAUAAUCAUGUCAUACAUAAUAUUAAUACCCAUAUGCAUAAAAUCCAAAAGGACACAUUAUACAUAAACCUUUGGCUCUGAUACCACUUGAAGGGGAAAUUAUGAGUUUAACACAUGAGAUUUCUAAAUGACUGCAUGCAUAUACAAAUCAAAAUUUAUAUACAUGAGCAACGGAAGCAAUUUAUCAAAUAAUAUCAAAGCUAUAGUCAUGAAAAUCCCCUUCAAGGUUCAUAGGUUUAUAUAUAAUGCAUCUAAAACAUUUAACUUAAGAACAAAGUCAAGGAAUAGAUCUAUACCUCUUGAUCUUGAUUUUAGACCAAGGAUGGACCACCUCCAAGCCCUUUGCUCCUUGAAGUCCUUGAGCCUAGCCUCCCUCCUUGCCUCCUCCAUUUUGAAUGUAAGAGUGCUCCAAGGUUCUCCUUAAGUCUCCAAAGGAGAAGACCUCAAAAGAUCCACACCUACUAGUGUAGUGAGAUGGAUGGUGGAAUAACCAAAAGGGUGAAAGAUUGUUAGUUAAAUCACCCCCAAGGUGGCCGGCCUUUGUAAUGUUUUUAGAGAUAUUUCUUUUGCCUCUUUGUUUUUUUAAACACACAAAAACCCUAAGGAUUAAUUUCUAUAAAGUUCCUUAUAUAGACAAAAAGAAACCUAGUCAACAACUUGACUAAAUAUCUCUCCCUUUCCACUUAAAGUGGCCGGCCUCUUUGUGUUGGAUUUGGGCUUUGGGCUUUUAUAUAUUUCAAGUCAUCCAAUGCUUGAAUAAAAGCCCAAUGAGUUUAGGCCCAAUGGGCCCAAUUAAACCCGAACGUUUCUAUAAGCCCAAAACGAUCUUUUAUCGCUUUUAUGAUUUCUUUAGACUUUCUAAAUUAAUCACAACACUUAAUUAAUCCAAUUAAUUAUUUCCUCCAUCCAGUAAUUACUCACUACAAUAGUGUAUCGGUGUACAAUCAUUUUAGGUUCUAAUUAGCAAGGCAGUGAGGUGAUUGGCAUCAAUCCAAUUGAUUAUAUUUAAUUCAAUCACUUAGUGAAUUAAAACUUCUUUUUAAUUCACCUUCUUCUUUGAUGACUACAUUUAAUCAUCUAGAAGAACUCACAAGCUAUGAGUGACAUCUAACCAUAUGUCAUAGCUACCCAAGCUAAUGUAGAAGCUGUUCGGAGAACCUAUUCAGUUAGAAUUACAAUGUAAUUCGAUCAUUCUCUAAAACAAUACUCUCAACCACAUUACUAGGGUAUGGAUAUAUUAUGUCAAACCCCUAAUGUGAUUAUUCCUUCUUAUAUGAUUCAAUUGAGUCGUAUAGGAACACUUUCCUUUAUUACGCUCGAUACUUCGGCCGAAGAUUCCCGAAUCAUAUCUUAGAGUAUUCUUCCUCUCUUAUCGAAGAUUAGAGAUCCCUUGUUGCGCAUUCACUUGCCUUCAUGACUAAGUGGCUUAACCCCAAUUAUGCCGUGGACACCUGCGAAUGGGAUGACUUUGACAUAAACAAAGAUUAAGUACUUAGCCACAAGACAACGACGAUGCCUCAGGUCAAAGGACUAUUUACCAAGCCCACCUCACGAUGAUACGAUGUUGGCUAGCAAAAAUAAUAAUGAGAGGGUACAAUUACCCAUUCACAACAACCUCUUGUGAUUACCCAUCUUUUUGGCCUCUAGAGAGCAAUGCCUCACGAUGAUACGAUGUUGGCAUCAUUUCUCUUAGUUAAGUUCUAUCCCACCAUGCCGGUUUAGAUAGGGGUUCAAGCAUGACCUCAUGAUGAUACGAUGUUGGCCACACUCGUUGCCUACCUUAACCUCAUCAAAUGUUUUAAAUAAACUCCUCCUGAAUAUAAGCAUGCACUUUGCACUCCCCCAUGAUAGGGUGAAGGCG